rnacentral:rRNA from 1 species
AGCAGUCGCCACGGGAACACGUAGGGUGCGAGUGUUAAUCGGAAUUACUGGGCGUAAAGCGUGCGCAGGCGGUUGUGUAAGACAGGUGUGAAAUCCCCGGGCUUAACCUGGGAACUGCGCUUGUGACUGCACAGCUAGAGUAUGGCAGAGGGGGGUGGAAUUCCACGUGUAGCAGUGAAAUGCGUAGAGAUGUGGAGGAACACCGAUGGCGAAGGCAGCCCCCUGGGCCAAUACUGACGCUCAUGCACGAAAGCGUGGGGAGCAAACAGGAUUAGAUACCCGGGUAGUCCCUGUCUCUUAUAC